GUUAAAUGUUUAUUAAAUACUUUAGUCUGGUACAUGUACAUAGCACUUAGAAAAUGCAUCAUAAUCUGGAAGUCACAAAUAUAGACAAAAACAUUGUUACCCCUUAACCGGUUUAUUUUGGGGCAGCAGAUCUAAGGACACGCCUGGCAGCAUUAUGAACAGCAGUGGCACCAAGGGCAACUGUAGGGGGUUAAUGUGGACCCUGCAUCAUUCCUUGCCAUGUGCCUGGUGCUUGUGACUAAAUUCACUAAUUUCACUGGCUGUCAAGGCUGUGUUAAGGAAAAUGGGUUUGAACUGCUGUGGGUUUUGAGUACUGGACUGGAUGUCAGAAACCUUUGCCAUCACGGGAAAUUCUGUCACUCUGGAUUUACUGUCUGUUCCCCACAGCUAAAUUCCUCUGCAGUGUGAUUUAGCACCCUGGAUCCCCAUCAACCAGUUUUGGCAUUUAUUUGAAUGCAUUACCCCACUGGUUUCCAUAAACUAUUUU
rnacentral:lncRNA from 1 species